CACGUAGGGCGCAAGCGUUGUCCGGAAUUAUUGGGCGUAAAGAGCUCGUAGGCGGUCUGUUGCGUCCGCUGUGAAAACUCGGGGCUUAACCCCGAGCCUGCAGUGGAUACGGGCAGACUAGAGGUAGGUAGGGGAGAAUGGAAUUCCCGGUGUAGCGGUGAAAUGCGCAGAUAUCGGGAGGAACACCGGUGGCGAAGGCGACUUCCUGGCCUGUUCUUGACGCUGAGGCGCGAAAGCUAGGGGAGCAAACGGG
rnacentral:rRNA from 1 species